rnacentral:rRNA from 1 species
GACGAACGCUGGCGGCGUACCUAAUACAUGCAAGUCGAACGCUUCUUUCCUCCGAGUGCUUGCACUCAAUUGGAAAGAGGAGUGGCGGACGGGUGAGUAACACGUGGGUAACCUACCCAUCAGAGGGGGAUAACACUUGGAAACAGGUGCUAAUACCGCAUAACAGUUUAUGCCGCAUGGCAUAAGAGUGAAAGGCGCUUUCGGGUGUCGCUGAUGGAUGGACCCGCGGUGCAUUAGCUAGUUGGUGAGGUAACGGCUCACCAAGGCCACGAUGCAUAGCCGACCUGAGAGGGUGAUCGGCCACACUGGGACUGAGACACGGCCCAGACUCCUACGGGAGGCAGCAGUAGGGAAUCUUCGGCAAUGGACGAAAGUCUGACCGAGCAACGCCGCGUGAGUGAAGAAGGUUUUCGGAUCGUAAAACUCUGUUGUUAGAGAAGAACAAGGACGUUAGUAACU